AUUAAAAGAAAGGAAAUCAGAUUAGGGAUUAGGUUACAUGAAAUUUUCCUCUUCUUAUCACACGCACGCGAGAAACGGCGGCCGCUCCUCCUCAUUCUCCGAUCACCUUUCCGCGAGCAUCACCGUGACGGUGUUCCGGCCACCACCGCAACGAGUCUUCCUUCAUCUCUGCUCUUACCUCAAUCUCAAACUCUCUGCUUCAACCUCUCUUUCCUCGUCGAUUUGCUCUCUCUCGAUUCAGACUUCAUUCACUAUCUGAUUCAACUCAACGACUGGAGAUCAAUCCCUAUGUGUCUUCAAUUUGAUCUUAAAGAUGAUAAAUCCAGGGAAUAUGCUUCGAAACUUCAGGUACCAACACCUCUUCAGUCUUUGCGCUCUUCUUCUUUUUUCUCGAAUUCUGCGUCUUCUCUGAGUUCUUCCUUUUGAGUUCGAUGUUGUUCGUCGUUCUGAGUUGUUUUUAGUGAUGGUGAUGUGAGAUCACAUAUGUGAAUCGCGAUGUUGAUCAAUGCGAGUUGCUGCGUGUAUGAUAUGAACGCGUUGUUUGUUGGAGUUGCAAUGAAGAGAGGUGCGAUUAAGAUGAAGAUGAAGACCAGAUUGAAGAACUGUGUUGAUGUUUGUGGACGUGGAAGAUGAUGAAGAAAAUUGAAAUUGUUGUGUCGCGAUGAAGAUUGAAAGGAUCGAAGAUCGAAUCAGAGGGAAGAUUGAAGUGUAUGGAGAUUGAAGAUUGACACCAAGGUGAUGACUAUGCUCUGAGGAAGGUGAAGAUCGGUUUUCUGGAGAUUGAAGAUGAUGAAACGUGAAUAUGGAGGUUUUCUGAACUCAGAGCUGGAAGUUUGAAGUUCGGUUUAUUCUGAAGUGCAUGGACUUUUGCUGCAGUGAACAAGGGCAAAGUUUGGAGAAUGAAUCAUCAAUCGAAGAUGAAUUAGGAAGCUUCGCUUUUAAGGCAAUUUGGUGUAUUUUUUCUAUGACUGUAACGUAACGUUAGGACAUGGUAAUGAUUCAAUUUUUGUAUCGCUUUUAGAUGUAUUGUAAACUUCAAUAGACAAAAUCCUUCAAUUAUUCGAAACAUUCUUCUCUUUUAAA